GAGGAGCCGCUAAGCGCUAAGAGAUUGACUGAAAACAUGAGAAGACUCAAGCGAGGUGCCAAACCUGUCACAAACUUCAAGAGGAACCUUUUUGCCUUAUCCAGCUGGCAAACAGUGUACACGUCAGCCUUCGCCUUC